rnacentral:rRNA from 1 species
GGAUAACCUACCCUUAGGACCGGGAUAACCCUGGGAAACUGGGGAUAAUACUGGAUAGGCAAUUUUUCCUGUAAUGGUUUUUUGUUUAAAUGUUUUUUCGCCUAAGGAUGGGUCUGCGGCCGAUUAGGUAGUUGGUUAGGUAAUGGCUUACCAAGCCGUUGAUCGGUACGGGUUGUGAGAGCAAGAGCCCGGAGAUGGAACCUGAGACAAGGUUCCAGGCCCUACGGGGUGCAGCAGGCGCGAAACCUCCGCAAUGUGAGAAAUCGCGACGGGGGGAUCCCAAGUGCCAUUCUUAACGGGAUGGCUUUUCAUUAGUGUAAAGAGCUUUUGGAAUAAGAGCUGGGCAAGACCGGUGCCAGCCGCCGCGGUAACACCGGCAGCUCUAGUGGUAGCAAUUUUUAUUGGGCCUAAAGCGUCCGUAGCCGGUUUAAUAAGUCUCUGGUGAAAUCUUGCAGCUUAACUGUGGGAAUUGCUGGAGAUACUAUUAGACUUGAGACCGGGAGAGGUUAGAGGUACUCCCAGGGUAGAGGUGAAAUUCUGUAAUCCUGGGAGGACCGCCUGUUGCGAAGGCGUCUAACUGGAA